UCGGCGACCGGCGCACGGGUGAGUAACACGUAUGCAAUCCACCUGUAACAGGGGGAUAACCCGGAGAAAUCCGGACUAAUACCCCAUAAUAUGGGCGCUCCGCAUGGAGGGCUCAUUAAAGAAAGCAAUUUUGGUUACAGACGAGCAUGCGCUCCAUUAGCCAGUUGGCGGGGUAACGGCCCACCAAAGCGACGAUGGAUAGGGGUUCUGAGAGGAAGGUCCCCCACAUUGGAACUGAGACACGGUCCAAACUCCUACGGGAGGCAGCAGUGAGGAAUAUUGGUCAAUGGACGAGAGUCUGAACCAGCCAAGUAGCGUGAAGGAUGACUGCCCUAUGGGUUGUAAACUUCUUUUAUACGGGAAUAAAGUGAGCCACGUGUGGCUUUUUGUAUGUACCGUAUGAAUAAGGAUCGGCUAACUCCGUGCCAGCAGCCGCGGUAAUACGGAGGAUCCGAGCGUUAUCCGGAUUUAUUGGGUUUAAAGGGAGCGUAGGCGGACUAUUAAGUCAGCUGUGAAAGUUUGCGGCUCAACCGUAAAAUUGCAGUUGAUACUGGUCGUCUUGAGUGCAGUAGAGGUAGGCGGAAUUCGUGGUGUAGCGGUGAAAUGCUUAGAUAUCACGAAGAACUCCGAUUGCGAAGGCAGCUUACUGGACUGUAACUGACGCUGAUGCUCGAAAGUGUGGGUAUCAAACAGGAUUAGAUACCCUGGUAGUCCACACAGUAAACGAUGAAUACUCGCUGUUUGCGAUAUACAGUAAGCGGCCAAGCGAAAGCGUUAAGUAUUCCACCUGGGGAGUACGCCGGCAACGGUGAAACUCAAAGGAAUUGACGGGGGCCCGCACAAGCGGAGGAACAUGUGGUUUAAUUCGAUGAUACGCGAGGAACCUUACCCGGGCUUGAAUUGCAACUGAAUGAUGUGGAGACAUGUCAGCCGCAAGGCAGUUGUGAAGGUGCUGCAUGGUUGUCGUCAGCUCGUGCCGUGAGGUGUCGGCUUAAGUGCCAUAACGAGCGCAACCCUUAUCUUUAGUUACUAACAGGUCAUGCUGAGGACUCUAGAGAGACUGCCGUCGUAAGAUGUGAGGAAGGUGGGGAUGACGUCAAAUCAGCACGGCCCUUACGUCCGGGGCUACACACGUGUUACAAUGGGGGGUACAGAAGGCAGCUACACAGCGAUGUGAUGCUAAUCCCAAAAGCCUCUCUCAGUUCGGAUUGGAGUCUGCAACCCGACUCCAUGAAGCUGGAUUCGCUAGUAAUCGCGCAUCAGCCAUGGCGCGGUGAAUACGUUCCCGGGCCUUGUACACACCGCCCGUCACACCAUGAGAGCCG
rnacentral:rRNA from 1 species